rnacentral:rRNA from 1 species
UACGUAGGGUGCGAGCGUUAAUCGGAAUUACUGGGCGUAAAGCGUGCGCAGGCGGUUCUCCAAGUCCGUUGUGAAAGCCCCGGGCUCAACCUGGGAAUGGCAGUGGAAACUGGCGAACUGGAGUGUGGCAGAGGGGGGUGGAAUUCCGCGUGUAGCAGUGAAAUGCGUAGAGAUGCGGAGGAACACCGAUGGCGAAGGCAGCCCCCUGGGCUGACACUGACGCUCAGGCACGAAAGCGUGGGGAGCAAACAGG